GACGAACGCUGGCGGCGUGCUUAACACAUGCAAGUCGAACGGAAAGGCCCUGCUUUUGUGGGGUGCUCGAGUGGCGAACGGGUGAGUAACACGUGAGUAACCUGCCCUUGACUUUGGGAUAACUUCAGGAAACUGGGGCUAAUACCGGAUAGGAGCUCCUGCUGCAUGGUGGGGGUUGGAAAGUUUCGGCGGUUGGGGAUGGACUCGCGGCUUAUCAGCUUGUUGGUGGGGUAGUGGCUUACCAAGGCUUUGACGGGUAGCCGGCCUGAGAGGGUGACCGGCCACAUUGGGACUGAGAUACGGCCCAGACUCCUACGGGAGGCAGCAGUGGGGAAUAUUGCACAAUGGGCGGAAGCCUGAUGCAGCAACGCCGCGUGCGGGAUGACGGCCUUCGGGUUGUAAACCGCUUUCGCCUGUGACGAAGCGUGAGUGACGGUAAUGGGUAAAGAAGCACCGGCUAACUACGUGCCAGCAGCCGCGGUGAUACGUAGGGUGCGAGCGUUGUCCGGAUUUAUUGGGCGUAAAGGGCUCGUAGGUGGUUGAUCGCGUCGGAAGUGUAAUCUUGGGGCUUAACCCUGAGCGUGCUUUCGAUACGGGUUGACUUGAGGAAGGUAGGGGAGAAUGGAAUUCCUGGUGGAGCGGUGGAAUGCGCAGAUAUCAGGAGGAACACCAGUGGCGAAGGCGGUUCUCUGGGCCUUUCCUGACGCUGAGGAGCGAAAGCGUGGGGAGCGAACAGGCUUAGAUACCCUGGUAGUCCACGCUGUAAACGGUGGGUACUAGGUGUGGGGUCCAUUCCACGGGUUCCGUGCCGUAGCUAACGCUUUAAGUACCCCGCCUGGGGAGUACGGCCGCAAGGCUAAAACUCAAAGGAAUUGACGGGGCCCCGCACAAGCGGCGGAGCAUGCGGAUUAAUUCGAUGCAACGCGUAGAACCUUACCUGGGUUUGACAUGGAUCGGGAGCGCUCAGAGAUGGGUGUGCCUCUUUUGGGGUCGGUUCACAGGUGGUGCAUGGCUGUCGUCAGCUCGUGUCGUGAGAUGUUGGGUUAAGUCCCGCAACGUGCGCAACCCUUGUUCACUGUUGCCAGCACGUUAUGGUGGGGACUCAGUGGAGACCGCCGGGGUCAACUCGGAGGAAGGUGGGGAUGACGUCAAGUCAUCAUGCCCCUUAUGUCCAGGGCUUCACGCAUGCUACAAUGGCUGGUACAGAGAGUGGCGAGCCUGUGAGGGUGAGCGAAUCUCGGAAAGCCGGUCUCAGUCCGGAUUGGGGUCUGCAACUCGACCUCAUGAAGUCGGAGUCGCUAGUAAUCGCAGAUCAGCAACGCUGCGGUGAAUACUUUCCCGGG
rnacentral:rRNA from 1 species